AGAGUUUGAUCAUGGCUCAGGACAAACGCUGGCGGCGUGCCUAACACAUGCAAGUCGAGCGGAGAUAAUGGUUGAGUAAUCGGCGAUUAUUUUAGCGGCGGACGGGUGAGUAACGCGUGAGCGACCUGCCUUUUACAGGGGGAUAACGGAGGGAAACCUUCACUAAUACCGCAUGAGACCCCUCAGCCGCAUGGCAGAGAGGUUAAAGGAUUAGAUCCGGUAAGAGAGGGGCUCGCGUCCGAUUAGGUAGUUGGUGAGGUAAGGGCUCACCAAGCCAACGAUCGGUAGCCGACCUGAGAGGGUGAUCGGCCACAUUGGAACUGAGAACGGUCCAAACUCCUACGGGAGGCAGCAGUGGGGAAUAUUGGGCAAUGGGGGGAACCCUGACCCAGCGACGCCGCGUGAGGGAAGAAGGUUUUCGGAUUGUAAACCUCUGUCCUUGGUGAAGAGAAGAAGACGGUAGCCAAGGAGGAAGCCCCGGCUAACUACGUGCCAGCAGCCGCGGUAAUACGUAGGGGGCGAGCGUUGUCCGGAAUGAUUGGGCGUAAAGGGCGCGUAGGCGGCCGUGCAAGUCUGAAGUGGAAGUCCAUUUUUCAAGGGUGGAAUUGCUUUGGAAACUGCGCGGCUGGAGUGCAGGAGAGGUUAUCGGAAUUCCCGGUGUAGCGGUGAAAUGCGUAGAGAUCGGGAGGAACACCAGUGGCGAAGGCGGGUAACUGGACUGCAACUGACGCUGAGGCGCGAAAGUGUGGGGAGCAAACAGGAUUAGAUACCCUGGUAGUCCACACUGUAAACGAUGAAUGCUAGGUGUAGGAGGUAUCGACCCCUUCUGUGCCGCAGUAAACACAGUAAGCAUUCCGCCUGGGGAGUACGGUCGCAAGAUUAAAACUCAAAGGAAUUGACGG
rnacentral:rRNA from 1 species